UAAAUCUUCCUAAAAUUUUCAAAGCUCUAUAGCUACUAAAGUCAGAAAAAUAGAUCAGUUCUCAGGUAGGCCUUAUUUCUUUCCUCCCUCCACUUCCCAGGUGUGAUGACUGAAUAUGCUAGAGAAGAUGGAGAAAUGGGGGUGAAAUUAAGAGGCUUUUCACUGGGUAAAGCUGUCUUCAGCUCCAGUGGAAGUAGACCCUGCUGUGUGAAAGGCCUGACUGCAUUUCAGCUUGAUUAAAGGAGCAGCUGAAAGGAAACGUCCCCAACCUUUACUACCAGAAUGCAAGUCUAAAUGCUGGAUGCACAGAGCUGUUGGAAAGGAAUCAAAUUGCCAGUGGCCAAAUGACCAAGCUGGGGUAUGGAUGCACUUAUGACUUUAUAUAAAUUUCAUGAAAGGAGCAUCAGGGCAACACAAAGUUCUUUCCUACUCAGCAGACAGAAGUAAGGUGAAUUUGUCAGCCCUUCUAAACAACAGAGGCCCACAAAUGUAAAAACCAGGCAAGUAAUCAUGGACAAUGUGGCAUGCAUAACCCAUCUGAGAGCCUUCUAUGACGGAAUGACUGGCUGGGUAGAUGAGGGGAGAGUGGUGGCUGUUGUCUGCCUUCACUUCAGCAAGGUUUUUGACACCGUCUCCCACAACACCCUCAUAGGUAAGCUCAGGAAUUGUGUGUUAGGGGAGUGGACAGUGAUGUGGAUUGAGAACUGCUUGGAUGGCAGACCUCAGAGGGUUGUGAUCAGCGGCGCAGUCUGCUUGGAGGCCUGUAGCUAGCGGUGUCCCCAGGGGGUCAGUACUGGGUCCAGACCUGUUCAAUUUACUUGUCAGUGGCCUGGAUGAAGGGACAGACUGAACCCUCAGCAUGUUUGAUGAUGACAUAAAACUGUGAGGUGUGGUACACCAGAGAGGGCUGUGCUGCCAUUCAGAGAGACCUGGACAGGUCAGAGAGCUGGGCCAAGAGGAACCUCAUGAAGUUCAACAAGGGCAAGUGCAGGGUCCUGCACCUAGGGGAGAAUAACCCCAAGCAACAGUACAGGCUGGGGGCUGACCUGCUGGAGAGCAACUCUGUGGAGAGGGACCUGGGCG